GGAAGGAUCAUUAACUAUAUUACGGGGGGCCGGACCCAAGGUACUGCGUACUCCGCUUGCCUUGACCUGCCCUGUCUGAAUAUUUUACCCAUGUCUUUUGCGUACUUAUUGUUUCCUUGGUGGGCUUGCCUGCCAUUAGGACACCAUAAAAACCUUUUGUAAUUGCAGUCAGCGUCAGACAAAACUUAAUAAUUAAAACUUUCAACAACGGAUCUCUUGGUUCUGGCAUCGAUGAAGAACGCAGCGAAAUGCGAUAAGUAGUGUGAAUUGCAGAAUUCAGUGAAUCAUCGAAUCUUUGAACGCACAUUGCGCCCCUUGGUAUUCCAUGGGGCAUGCCUGUUCGAGCGUCAUUUGUACCCUCAAGCUCUGCUUGGUGUUGGGUGUUUGUCUCGCAUGACCGCGUAGACUCGCCUUAAAGCAAUUGGCAGCCGGCAUAUUGGCCUUGGAGCGCAGCACAUUUUGCGCCUCUUGCCAUGAAUGUUGGCGUCCAUCAAGCGUAUACAUUUUGCUCUUGACCUCGGAUCAGGUAGGGAUACCCGCUGAACUUAAGCAUAUCAAUAAGCGGAGGAAAAGAAACCAACAGGGAUUGCCCUAGUAACGGCGAGUGAAGCGGCAACAGCUCAAAUUUGAAAUCUGGCUCUUUCAGAGUCCGAGUUGUAAUUUGCAGAGGGCGCUUUGGCGUUGGCAGCGGUCCAAGUUCCUUGGAACAGGACGUCACAGAGGGUGAGAAUCCCGUACGUGGUCGCUACCCUUCGCCGUGUAAAGCCCCUUCGACGAGUCGAGUUGUUUGGGAAUGCAGCUCUAAAUGGGAGGUAAAUUUCUUCUAAAGCUAAAUACUGGCCAGAGACCGAUAGCGCACAAGUAGAGUGAUCGAAAGAUGAAAAGCACUUUGGAAAGAGAGUCAAAUAGCACGUGAAAUUGUUGAAAGGGAAGCGCUUGCAGCCAGACUUGCCUGUAGUUGCUCAUCCGGGCUUUUGCCCGGUGCACUCUUCUGUAGGCAGGCCAGCAUCAGUUUGGGCGGUCGGAUAAAGGUCUCUGUCAAGUACCUCCUUUCGGGGAGGCCUUAUAGGGGAGACGUAAUGCGACCAGCCUGGACUGAGGUCCGCGCAUCUGCUAGGAUGCUGGCGUAAUGGCUGUAAGCGGCCCGUCUUGAAACACGGACCAAGGAGUCUAACAUCUAUGCGAGUGUUUGGGUGUCAAGCCCGAACGCGUAAUGAAAGUGAACGGAGGUGGGAACCCUUAAGGGCGCACCAUCGACCGAUCCUGAUGUCUUCGGAUGGAUUUGAGUAAGAGCAUGGCUGUUGGGACCCGAAAGAUGGUGAACUAUGCUUGAAUAGGGUGAAGCCAGAGGAAACUCUGGUGGAGGCUCGCAGCGGUUCUGACGUGCAAAUCGAUCGUCAAAUUUGGGCAUAGGGGCGAAAGACUAAUCGAACUAUCUAGUAGCUGGUUCCUGC
rnacentral:misc_RNA from 1 species